GUGGAGCUUUAGUGAUAGUCUUCCUUAAUUAUUGGAAUUUUUUCUAAUUUUGACCUCAAAUCAGGCAGGAGUACCCGCUGAACUUAA
rnacentral:rRNA from 1 species